rnacentral:rRNA from 1 species
UACAGAGGGUGCAAGCGUUGUUCGGAAUUAUUGGGCGUAAAGGGCGCGUAGGCGGCCUUCUAAGUCAGACGUGAAAUCCCCCGGCUUAACCUGGGAACUGCGUCUGAUACUGGGAGGCUUGAGUAUGGGAGAGGGAUGUAGAAUUCCUGGUGUAGCGGUGAAAUGCGCAGAUAUCAGGAGGAACACCGGUGGCGAAGGCGGUUCUCUGGGCAUGAUCUGACGCUGAGGAGCGAAAGUGUGGGGAGCGAACAGG